rnacentral:rRNA from 1 species
UACGUAGGGGCCUAGCGUUGUCCGGAUUUAUUGGGCGUAAAGAGCUCGUAGGCGGUUCGGUAAGUCAGGUGUGAAAUCUCCACGCUCAACGUGGAGGCGCCACCUGAAACUGCCGUGACUCGAGUCCGGUAGGGGAGUGUGGAAUUCCUGGUGUAGCGGUGAAAUGCGUAGAUAUCGGGAGGAACACCAGUGGCGAAGGCGACUUCCUGGCCUGUUCUUGACGCUGAGGCGCGAAAGCUAGGGGAGCAAACGGG